rnacentral:rRNA from 1 species
GAUCGGCGGCGUAGCAAGGGGAGGUCGAGAGAGAGGGAGAGAGCUGCGACCGGUAGCAUCGUGCGGCGGAUGUCGGCGACGGCGGCGGCGGCACGAGGAUAGGUGAAGAGGGGAAAGUAGAGGACAGCGGCUCUAGCAACGGCGGCGCGACGAGAGGGCAGCUCGAGCGGGGAGUGGCAACGACCCUCCUCUGCCAACUGGGAGACUAACAUAGCUGCGGCUGCUCAAGCCACCCGUGGCACAGGAAGAUGUGGCAGUGGCCGCGGCGGAGGAGCACUCUAGGGGUGGUACCUAAACACCACUACAUCCUAGACACCACUACAUCUUCCCGUCGUCCCGUCGUCGGAGUUGCGGUGUCCAUUGGCGACUCCUACAAAUUUUUCCUGUGGUGGUUAUCGUCUCGUGAGAUAACGACGUUAAUAUACGUCGCACACACAUACUACAACAACCCAACAACUGUACCGGGUACCAGGUCAACGCCGAGUACGAGUUCCGUGCCAGCUCCGACCACAACCCAACCAUCCACCAGCACCGGCACCGGUACCCGCAAGACGACCAGCAGCACCUGCUCGGUGACCGACACCUCCAAGAUUAUAUCCCGCACGGGGAUAAAGACUAUUACAGCGACGAACGGCUCACGGACUGCGACCUCGACUCGGAGAACUGUCCGCAUCCCCACACUCAGCCGCCCACGGACGACGACCUCGACUCGGAUAGCGGUCCGCACCCGCACCGCGAGCCGUCCACGGACGGCGACCCGCACCGCGGUACGGAGUUGGUUCACCAUCCCUCGGUUCACCAUCGCCACAAGCACCGGUACAGGGACCAGCACCACGACUAAGACCCUUACGUCGGCGACGACAACAGGGACCACCCCGACGACCAGGAUCCAAGUGGCGGCGAGGAUCCGCACGCCGCCAGGGACCCUAACGAUCUGCAAUGCACGGUACAGUCGGACAACCCACAGGAGGAGCUUCGGCAUGUUCACUACCGACCAAGGGAAAAGACUCGAGCUGGCACCGACGCCAUUUAGUGUCUUUUGCCUUUUACACGCAACUCAAAGCCGCGUGAGCUAUACUUCUUGUACAGCAACUACCCGGAAACGGCUUCCUAACCGUACCAAAGAGUCAAAUACACUCAAGCCUCCACUGACCCCAUCUGGCGUUGUCUGCCUUUUCUGCCUUUCACAGCUAAUUUAACACUGCAGGACCUACGCUUCUCUAACAACAGGUUCCCGUACACGGUUUCCUAACCGUUCCAAAGAGCCAGUUCAAACGGCUCAGGGAAUUUCGAACGAUACGUCUAUCCAGCAUGAUGCCGGGAGGCCUAAAGAACACGGUUAUUACACCACGGAGGAAAACCAAACGACUCACAAGUUUCAGGUCCAGUAGGACCUGUGUUGCAUUCUACCAAAUAUUAGCGACAACAUUUCCGCGAUUCCAUAUAUAAGGAGGGAAAUUCCUAGGGGGACGGAUAGAGGCACUCGAGGAAGCUAAGCUACCAUGAAGAGCACGAUUUUUUAAGUAGGCCUGAUAUGCACUCAUGUUCACAUACAAGCGAAAGUGAAGCUACCCACGAUGAUAACUUGCGAGCAAACCACCGUCGGCACCUGGAUUCUAAAAAUUCUAGUCACCAGUUCACAGAGUAGCAUAACCAAGCAACCACGGAUCGCCACUACUAUGUGGAUUCAAACGACUCAACAUAUAUGUACUGGGUCGAUUACUCUAAUCUGUAUCCUACUUACGGAAUUUAGGUCUACUGUUCGGAUGACCCCCACACCUACUCUCAUAACACCAACCAGAAUCUCUGUACGAAUUACUCAAAUUGGGUAACCAUGUCUGGAAAGCCCUCCGCUCAUUCUACUAUCUCCUAGCACCACUACUUGGGUAGCUCCUAUAGAGCUAAGCAUAAUAACCUGGAAGUCUCCCGCUAUCAGGUGUCAAAUCAAACGGAUGUUGGUGACCCGAACGACGAAAUCAACAGCCACCACCGAAGUGCAAUCUCCGUAGAAGAGCCUAUAACAACAAGCGUCAACAAGGCUGCCAAACGUCGUCUAUAGAAGAGACUUGUGAUGUAAGUACGGAGACGUUAUGGGCAACGAAAAGGGAAUACCUCUCUCUCCCAAGGUCCACCUACAAGGAGUGAACUAACAAGGAUUUCUUCUACUACUGCUACCUGGAUAUCUAGGAUUAGGACGUGGACCUUCAGGCUGGCAACUCCGCAGGAGAAGUAUGGGAAGACCCCCACCACUACGAAGGUGUUUAUCAACCUUAUCCUACUGGUACGUCCUAAUGAUAGCAAAAUACACGGUAAUGUUCCCACUAGUCGGGUUAGGUAUAAAUACAAUACCAGAGGAGAGGAGGGUCAGCCAACAACUACGUGCACGCACGUAGCUAUUUUCAUCUAACACCAUAUAGUAUUCUUUAAUCCUGUACGAAUCUAGUCUCGUGUACGUCCCAUAAUGACUACGCCAUCCACUACCCACACAACUACCACUACGAGAACCCUUCUCCUGGUAACAUGGAAGGUCAGUGUAUCCGCCAGCAGCAAUGAAGGUACUUUUAAAGGUACUACCGGAACGGCAAACAGCCCACGUGCCACGCGGAUUGUAUAAAUGGUGAAAGUGAACGUUAGGGUUCACCGGACUCUAGUGUUCACGUAACCUUGGUCCAGUCUACGGAAGACUAUCCCGCCUAUAACAACAAUCCCAGAUAGUGUACUUCGAGUGGCUCAUGAACCUACUCUAAUUCAGUCCGGCCCGAAAACCGGGGUAAUGUCGACACAACAUAUGGCAACUCAAGGUCUUCGCCCCUGACGGAGUGCGCGUAUAUGAACAGACCGCCUCUCCCCCAUUGCCACUCUAACCACAACUUUUAUAGUUAAGUAAUUAUAGACGACUUUAUGGACUACGUAACGAACUAGGAGAUCCUAUACGAAAUCAAAGACUCAAAUACUACGUGCCAGGCACACCACUUUACUUGCUAUUUACACAGACGUACUUUUUCCCACAAACAAGAUUUAUAAAGGGUUUUCUAAAAUCUCUAUGGUGACAGUAACUACUAUUACCCAAACGGAAUAUAGCUACAGCACUGCUGCCAGCUUCCCAGAUAUUUUUACCAGUAAUGGAACUGUUAUCCGUACAACAAGGAAUAUUAUACCGUUACGAGUUCUUUAAAGUCCCUGUAUAUUUACAUCUCACCACAUUAUUCUGUGUCCACUACUUUAUAGAGAAAUUCAUACAGUAGUUUCCACGACUGAUGAGAUUCCAGUACAAUCUUUCCGAUUUUUUAAACUGAUUUAGACCAACAGCAUGUCAUCUACUCCAAGUCCUCAUAGACUAUACAGCCAUAUAUACACUCAUACUACGUAACACCGCGUAUAAACCCAAACUUUAUGUGAAAUUUUACGGCAGCCAAGUUUCCAACUGGCAAGUAUACGGACCGUACUUAUGAUAGAUGAUAGCACGACCACGACUGGAGUGCUUUUAACAACUAAGACUGAAGAACGCUUUCUGAUACGAAUGGCUUACCAAACAACGCUUACUCUACAAGCUUCUACGAGCAAGUAAUUGAAUAACGCUAAAAGGUUGACGAACCUGGACCCUGCGAUUUUCAUCCAGUACCGUAGGUUCCCCACCCCCACUUUUCUAACCGGUGCACAUAAUACAUGUAGGAAACUCACCACUCAACAUAAUGAACGCGUACGAAAACUACUAACAAUUCCCCCGAUCCAGAAAGCUUCUAGAAGCUUGUAUACUACCAGCAGAAAUAGUGUGGAAAUUUCUCCGAACACGACGCGCGCCAAACAAUCCUCUACUAUUACUCACCAUGUAUCGCAAACUACUUCGCCAACAAACCCCCAAACCCGUAGCUGAAUCUGUCGAUAAACACUGAUACGAGUACGUAACAAGAUAGUUCCUGCUCUACCCCAAGAAACUUGCAAUGACGCGAUCGUACAUGCUACUAUAGGUUGUACCCAACGCAGCACGGGACCCAUUAGAUUUGAUACAACAAGGAGGACUUUCUAACUCUUUAUACGAAGAACUACUCAACCGACUGUAAAAGAACUUUGCACCAAGACUAUAUUCUUCAAAAUUGAACAGCAGAGCGAGACCAUUUCCACUCGUCAGACUACUAUUAGCAGAUUAAGUACUCCUUGACAGAAUACUACGUACACGAGACAGAUUUGUCAGGAACCAAUACAAACUAUCAAAUUUACUCCUGGUUAACCAACGAAUAUUCUGCUAACAUCUCACACACGUCCGCCCCUCUGGCCCGAAAAAAAAAACAGAGACCCAUACCACCAUGACCCUUCUGUAUGGACACCUCACGUUAUACACGAAAGGAAUCCCCGCUCUCCUUCUAUCACGAAUGACAACGCAGCAGCCCGUAACGCAGCGACAACAACGGACCACCCUCCUGACGAGUAAGAGCGAAAUUCUAUGGAUAAGAAGAACUUCUAUUAUGUGUUACACUAUAAUUUUCUCCGAGAUUCGAAACAUUCAACAACUACCAUAGGAGCGAACAAUAAACCCUGCUCCGCGACUACUGUGUGUCCUUUACGAAACUCCGACAUCUAUCUUGAAACGCACUACAGGAGAGACACCGAUUAGGUCUAGAACGACUAUAAGGCAAGCCACCUCAUCACUACCAGAACCCACCACUGGAAUCUGUUUAGAAUGGCCAGCAACUCCCUCCAUGAUCCGGAGUCUAGUAACUACGCCGUUAGUGCUUAAGAGGCGAUACCGUAAGACAAUUUUUUUACAGCGAAGUGUACGCGAACCCACACGUACCACGCCUAUGGGUCCGUGUUUUCCUACAACGGAAUAAAUCGUCUACCCACGAUCUAGAACCCCUUCCCUUCAACGGACAGUAUUCCGCUCCACUACUCCAACUCCGAAGAACCUAUGUCUAUGGCCUGCUGGAGAACCAAACAUGCAGACCACUAGGUUAUCGACGAUAACAAAGAAGACAGAUACCACCAAAAAAAAGUAUUGAUGGACUUGAGACCAAUGAACGUUCUCUCUCGGUAAAAUCGGGGAUGGUUACUGGUACGACUCCUAUAAUUACUAGUAUAAGAACGUAACCAAGGAUGACUAUCGUCUCUGAUAAACUCACGACUAAGAUAACUACUAAGAAGCCUAAGACAAUCCCUGUUUCUACAAAUGAUAGGUCAGCUCAUGGACUUACGUUGAUUUUAAUAUUUAAAGGGUUUAGUAUCCGACUGAGAAUUCCAACCACAAGGCCAAUACGAAGAAUCUUUGGGCUCGGUCCGUUUACCAAACACAUUACCAUGUGCUGAUUAACAUUUUCUUAAUCCACUAGCCGAAUAGCUUCGACAGUAAUACUGACCGAGUGUACACCCACUAUGACAAAUAUAGGGGUCCUAACUUAAUAACCGUUUCUUCCCUUUACGUGGGAAACACGAAUCUGCAGCGGUCAAAGGACAAACACACACGAUACGGUACUGUUAAUUAUUCUCGGUCCCUGUCUGGGACAGACGACAACCAUAUAUAGAAUUCCCAGGACAAAAAUGUGUGCCCGUCGACAUACACCGUCACAGAGCACAAUGCAGCUCCCGAAGAAACUUUUAGGAAUAUAAUCUACGACUACCGUUUACGCCGAGACUCUGGUUCUUGUAACAAAAAGGACUCCAGAAGGCCCGGCGCCCCUACUGAAUCCAAACACAUACUACCAUCAGAAGUAAAACCAUCAAAAACCGUACGAAAACACUCAACCUACGAUAAAACCCACCACAGUAUAUCACAACCGACUUAUUUAUACAGCAGGGUACGCUACCCCCACUAUAAAACUUACAAGCGCACAUGACCCUAACCGAAAUAUAUAAGACGCCAAACCAAAUACAGUAUCUCUCAUGACUCAAAUUACCACUUCAACGCAAAACCACGACUAUGAAAACAACAUCUACCGCUACUGACUAGAUGUCCGAAAACAACACCCCUUGUUCUUGGACUGGUAGACACACAUACAAAGCGUAGACAUCGUCGUAACACCUAGGUGACUAUUACCAGGAUAGUUUGUGUGACUGUACCAGAAAAACCUACACGUCCAGAUUGUAUAUACGACUCUAACCACUCUUCGAACACGGAUUCAUUUUAACUCUGUUGGUGUAGGUACAACAAAGAACCGUACCCGUUGGUGUAGAUACGAUUAUAACCGAGGACUCUAGGAAAUAUCCAGAGAACGACACUUCGAACACCAACCGUACUGAAAGUUCGUAAGUUAAGAACACUCCCACCUCAACCUCUUCCACCCCGCAGUCUCGUCUCGGUCAACGUCGUAGGUGCUGGAGGAGCCCGUACUGGUUAGGACGGUCUAACUGGUCCAACGCCCCAAACCAGUCGUCACACACACCGGUCACCAACCUCGUGUGAUUUAAGCUCCUUGUUACGGCAGCAGCUGGUACCUAAGUCUAGGACUCUCAAAACAGUCCUAUCCCUCUCUGUGACUCCGUUUUCCGUUUAUAACUCUAGGUGGUGACUACUGUCGUCAGACGAUGGGACGAGGACACUUCGAGUGGCUUCCGGACGGGGAGGGUGGCACCAUAGGAGAGAGUCGAACGUGGAGAAGUACUUGAAGUCGAUCCAUACUCCGUGUUAUUUCCACCGUUAUUCUACACGCCCGUUAAUAGAAACAAAAGCACUGGUACGACUACUCCCACCUCGACGGUAACUCCGUGUAAACCGGAGGCUCCAUAGUUUGGGAGGUUGGAGGUAAAAGAAAUCCUACCAGGGCUCGGGUAGAGUGGAACCAGAAGAGAGGAGGUACCUAAGCUAACACACGUACCUACUCCUUUCUCAGUAACGUUCUCCACAACCACCUCUGCCUCCAACUCACCUGCUAGCUGUAUGUGCUGCAGUAGAUAUUGACGGAGAUACCGAAGGAGCCGGAGGUACAGUCGGAGGGACGAAGUGAUUUCGUUUUCCCAAACGUCGCAACACACCACUACCGGGACGGGGACCGGUUAUAGCUACGAGUAUCCUCACUAGAAACCGAUACCUCCGCAUCGAAGCCUACCAGAUGUUGUCACAGACCAAAGAGACGACCGAGAUUAAUACAGUGCAGUACAACCAACCGUAUGUAAAUAAAGACAUAAACCGUGAAGACCAACCGACUACAACAAUACAACAGGUGCCCUUGUGUCAUGAAUGCAACCACAGAUACUAUCUGAAAACAACAAGAUGACGGACGUGGGACAAGCAAAUCUUCUACUUCCCCUACCUACGUUUGAAUACAUACGUUACGUCCUACUAGUACCAUCGAAUACAUUAACAGCGACCAGAAGACAUACUUACCAAACGAAGCUAUAAAAACACAAUAAAAGAGGGGACUACGUGAUGACUUACGAAGGAGAUAUACGUGUUGGACCAGAUUAAUAAUACUAGGAUACAUGAGGAUUAGGA